GAGAAUUAACUCCGAAAACCCACGGCCAGCUACCUGCGUGUGACCCUUUCCACACUCUCCUAAAAACAGCACCCCUUUCCUCCAGCGAGGCAGGAGGAGCCCGCCAUGAACCAGCAGGGUUUCUAGGCUAGGAGGAGUGUCGCUAGUUCCAAUUCUGGGGUCUCUCCACCGCCGCCACUCCAUACGCCAACACAGACACAAAACCCGGACCAAAAAACUCUGCGGAACCCACGUUUGCUUUACCUUGGCAGACAAUGGCCAGGGCCGCUGCUGCUACUAGUCGUGCUGUCGUCUGUGGAUCCGCCACCAUCGCUUUCAGGUGACGAUGGCCUCACCAGCGGCUCCAGAACCCGCCAGGACUGCUCCCAUUACGCGUCGUUUCGGCGGUGCUCGCUCCCUCCUUCCCCCGCCGGGCGUGUGGCCCCCUGAGGUGCGGCUCCCUCCGCUUAGCGGCAGGAACCAGGCCGGUGGGGAAACAAGUAAGAGCAGCAGCAGCGCUCAAGGCCUGGCCGAUGGGGGUGGGAGAGAGGGAAAGCUUCCUUUCGCUCACCGGGCUCUCACCGAUGGUAGGAGGAAAGGGCGAGUUUAAGUCCAGGGAAGGGAAAAAAACCACCAAAGCCGCCGCUUCCUCUCUCUCCUCCGCCUCUGCACGCCUCAGUGACUCACCCCAGCGCGGCAGUCACUAGUCAAUCUCACAGGGUUGUCUUCACUCUCUUAAACGAAAUAUCGGUGGAGAAGCCUAACCCAGCAGCUUCGGCGACCGUGCCAGAGAGAAUGAGCUAGACAGGCACCUCCUCUGGUGCCCAGAGACGUCUUUGCAGGAUACCUACGGAAGAGCUGGAAGAGGGCUCGGGCACGUAACUUUGGGGAGGGGGCGGUGUCGCUCGCACGCACCCCAGCUAGGGGGGAGGAGGAAGCCAAGGUGGUGACUUGUUGCUCUCGCGCCGCUGAGCCAUGCGCUCCCGCGAGGCUCCGCUUGCGCUCAAGCGCCUCUCCAAGUCUCCUUUCGCGGCAGCUCCUUUCUCGCGCUUGCAUCAAAGACCCAAGCCAGCCCACCGCUGCGCCUCCGCUACCACUAUACCGUAGUAGACUGACGGAGUUCGGACGAUAAACGGAGAGGAGGAGACACAGAGAGAACGGCAGGCACCGAGCCCCGCCUUCUGGGUGGUCUCCCAGCAGAUAAUAAGGAAGGCCUCGGUGCAUUCGGGAGGCGGAAAGAGAAAGUUGACAGCAAAAAAGCUAACCGACCCAAAGCUGCAUUUGAAAUGAAGGGAACCAACCAUCUCAGCAUUACAACAAGUCCUCCUGUUGCUUCUCAAACAGAUAUAUAUAGGCACGAUUACAGUUCGAUUCCGUGUGAAUGGAAAAUUUAAAAGGUGUACACAUUCUUUUUCCACACAAGAGAGAGAGAACUCCAUUGAGGACUGGCUUCCAGCAACAUCCUCCAAGAAGACAAUAUGAUGGCACUAUGCCUUGAAGCACCCCCUGAAAUGGUUUAGGGUAGUUCACCUCCUCCUGAAAAAAUAGCCAAGAUAGUCACAUCAUUUUUCUGUCCCUGGUAGAGUAGCAAAAGGAGAGUGUCUGUUCAGCUUAGCUCUAAUAUAGCAUUGUACGCGGUUUAAAUGCAUUGUUUUGCUGAAUUUGUCUCUUGACCAAAAAUGCUACAGAUUCAAUUCACUUUUUUGACCUACUGCAAAAGAAAAGACAUAGCCACAGAGAAUGGAACAAGCUGCAUUCUUGGACAAAAAGGUGUAAUCUUAUGUAAAU